rnacentral:rRNA from 1 species
UACGAAGGGGGCUAGCGUUGCUCGGAAUCACUGGGCGUAAAGGGUGCGUAGGCGGGUUUUUAAGUCAGAGGUGAAAUCCUGGAGCUCAACUCCAGAACUGCCUUUGAUACUGAAAGUCUUGAGUAUGGGAGAGGUGAGUGGAACUGCGAGUGUAGAGGUGAAAUUCGUAGAUAUCGAGAGGAACACCGGUGGCGAAGGCGGCUAUCUGGACAGUGACUGACGCUGAGACGCGAAAGCGUGGGGAGCAAACAGG